UACAGAGGUCUCAAGCGUUGUUCGGAUUUAUUGGGCGUAAAGAGCGUGUAGGCGGCUAGAUAGGUCCGUUGUGAAAACUCGAGGCUCAACCUCGAGACGUCGAUGGAAACCAUCUGGCUAGAGUCCGGAAGAGGAGAGUGGAAUUCCUGGUGUAGCGGUGAAAUGCGCAGAUAUCAGGAGGAACACCGGUGGCGAAGGCGGAUCUCUGGGCCUUACCUGACGCUCAGGCGCGAAAGCUAGGGGAGCGAACAGG
rnacentral:rRNA from 1 species